AUUUGAAGGAAUCUCUGGGAACGAUGGGUCAAUGAGUGAAGGAGCAGAAGGAGACACCAUGGAUUGGACUAAGAUAAGAGAAGUGCAAACUAUUUGUCUGUGUACCAAAGCUCAGCACCAGAAUUUAAUGAUGAUGGCUCUUACUGUCCACCACCAAUUGCAUGGUUGUGUGAAACCAGGGAAAUACGUACUCUGCCUUCAAAUUCACAUUUUCAGUUGACAAGCUGAGAACUAGCAGCUUUCGAAAAAACCGAAUUCUAAUUAUUGACUCCCUGCACAAUAGGUUUCAUUCCCACAAGAGAAACCUGAAGCUUUCCUGCAACUGAGCAUCGGUGUGGUAUUUGGAUCUGAUAAAACUUCAGGAAGCAUAUAAGAGGAUGGGGACGAGGCUUUUGGAUGCUGAAAUCUCAUUAUAUACAAUGGUGGACUCAAAUGUAUCCCUUUUGAAUACUUUCAAGCUCUGAAUGGCUGAAUUUGUGAAUGCAGAAUUUAUGAAUACGGAGAUCUGACUGUACUCCUAACAGGAGAAAUAAUGCUAUAAACCAACAUCUACCAGUUUACUUAAGUGUCUUGAAGUGGAAAAUAUACAUUUCUCAGAAGGCUCGUUGAAUUGUCUUUUGUAUGGUGAUGUGACACAAUACAACCCAGCACACAUUGCUGAACUUGUGGUGCAUAUCAGUUUAGUUUUCCAGACAGAGUCACACAAAAAAUUAACAAUAAUAAUAAUCGCAUUUCGUCCUUUUAAAAAACUCU
rnacentral:lncRNA from 11 species